rnacentral:rRNA from 1 species
CCUACGGGAGGCAGCAGUGGGGGAUAUUGCACAAUGGGGGAAACCCUGAUGCAGCGACGCCGCGUGGGUGAAGAAGCGCCUCGGCGCGUAAAGCCCUGUCAGCAGGGAAGAAAAUGACGGUACCUGAAGAAGCCCCGGCUAACUACGUGCCAGCAGCCGCGGUAAUACGUAGGGGGCAAGCGUUAUCCGGAUUUACUGGGUGUAAAGGGGGCGCAGACGGCGAUGCAAGCCAGGAGUGAAAGCCCGGGGCCCAACCCCGGGACUGCUCUUGGAACUGCGUGGCUAGAGUGCAGGAGGGGCAGGCG